GGCCGUGCGGAGGGAGUAUUUAUCCUACGUCAAGUACCGCGAGAUCUCGGGUGCCCCGCCCCGAGCGCGAGCCUAUAAGAGCGGUGGAGGCGCACCCCCACGCCCCCUGGCCGGCUCUGCGUGUGCCUGCGCACGUUGGUUCUGCUCUCCUGCUCCCCGGUGCCGCCGCGGCCCGGCUGCGCGCGCUGCAGGACGCAGACGCCCCGGAGCGCGGCGGGAGGGGGCUCUGCCCCGCACGCCCCGUGGAGCAGUCGGCCCGAGUCGGCGCGGGAGCCCCCCCCGCCCGCCUGGAGCGCGUCCAUCCGUGCUGUGCCGUGGAGGACAGACCCUGAGGGCACGGCCUCCUGCCACCUCCCCAGCUCCGCCAGCCGGGCUCCCGCGGGUCGGCCGGCCCAGGUCCCACACCGCACAGCUUCCACAGUAGCAGGUCAGGUACCUUUGCGCUUGAGGGGACUUGGGCGGGGCACCGAGCCACCCGCAGGUGCGAAUGUGAAGCAGGGCGGCCUCCAGGAGGAGCCCCGCCGCUAAACGUCAGUUACCGACCCCGACGGGGAAGGAUGUGCGACUUCCUCGGGCAACUCCGCCCGUGAGAAGCCGCCCUCACCCUGAACUCUCGCUCAGAAAAAUCCCUCCCGAUUUUCUCCGCGAAAUAAAAUUUCUUUCCUUUG